AUUGAACGCUGGCGGCAGGCCUAACACAUGCAAGUCGAGCGAGCGGCGGACGGGUGAGUAAUGUAUGGGGAUCUGCCCGAUGGAGGGGGAUAACUACUGGAAACGGUAGCUAAUACCGCAUACCAUCGGAUGAGCCCAGAUGGGAUUAGCUAGUAGGUGGGGUAAAGGCUCACCUAGGCGACGAUCUCUAGCUGGUCUGAGAGGAUGAUCAGCCACACUGGAAUUGAGACACGGUCCAGGCUCCUACGGGAGGCAGCAGGGGGGAAUAUUGCACAAUGGGCGCAAGCCUGAUGCAGCCAUGCCGCGUGUAUGAAGAAGGCCUUCGGGUUGUAAAGUACUGUCAGCGGGGAGGCGUUACUCGCAGAAGAAGCACCGGCUAACUCCGUGCCAGCAGCCGCGGUAAUUC
rnacentral:rRNA from 1 species